AGAAAUAAAACCAGACGACCAGACCAGACUGGGUCUUGAAAACAAUUUACACUUCUCUUGUAAUUUACACUCCAGACUUCAGUAUAAUGAGAUAAAUCGACUUUUACUGUUAAUUUGAAAAAGAUGCCAUCCCGAGUGAGCCAAUACUGUGCCUGUCAUCAGUACUGGAGUUUUUGAAGAAAAUGGAAGGAAAAUGGGAUCAAAAUCAUCAAUCAUGAAUGCCAGUUCAGGAUUUGCAGAAAUGAAAGUUUCUUGUAGUUCAAGAAUAAAACAAGAAUAAACACGCGGAGAACAGAAAUUGAAGAACAGCUAAUUGAAGUCGAAACCGAUUUAAGACGAUGAGUGUGUCGUCAGUACUUCAAGAAAUAAUUUGCUACCCUACAAGCCGUUGUCUAGUCAUUGGGAGGAAAAAUUGAAGAUGAAAGCUUGAAAAGCCGAGGCAAAUACCUUAUGAAACAUUUCUUUGAAAACAGCUGCAUGCAU